AGCCGCUGCUCCUCAUCAGAUUAUAUCCAAAUUGCUUUACAAGGUGCUCCCAAAAAAGACACAGAAAUAUAAGAUGACGUCUAAGUGCUGACUAGCCUCCUUCACCGGCCUGACAGGGUAUAUACAUAGAGAUGUGUAACCCCGUCCCUUCUCAGCUCCGAGAUGGAAGAAUAUAUAGGAGGCUGGAACCAUAGAUCUAUGUAGCUCUUUUAUCUAUGAUGCUGAUGGAUGGUGUUUAACUCGUGGACUUCUAUCUCUAAUCACUAAUUCCUAUAAUGAGACUGACCUUUUAAUGCCAUGGAUGUUAACUGCGGACUUCUGUCUCUAGUAUUGAUGUGUGGACCUUUUAUUGUAAGUGGGCCUAACCAACUGUAGCCUCGUUCCCAUGCCGAUUUUUCUUGACGGCCUAGUAUUGAUUGUAUCUACGCGUGGUUAAGGGACUGGGAAAAAGCAGACACAUUUUGCGGUUAAUCCGUAAAUUUAGCUCUGUGUAUGCUCUCAGACUCAAGUACUAAAAUGUAGCCAUACAGAACAGGCCCAGGCUCUCAAGCUUCUGUCGGAAGUCUUUUUCUGGUUUUCAACAAGGUAUAUAGGUUUGAGUGCGCGUGGCUCUUUUUCAAGCUUCCCUCCCAAACUUAAAAUCCUAGAUGAACGGUAUAUAUUAUUACAGCUACUGACUAAAAGGACGAAGGCUGACUCUGCUGUUCAAAAAUAAUGUUUCUGGUAAAUGCACUCCAAGUACUUUGUGGGAGGAGAGUUAUUGCGGUUUACUCUCGCCCACGCGCUCAUUAAAAUUGACUACAGUACGUCAGUGGGGGAUCACGCGACUUAGCAAGGCAAGCUCUCCUUUUUGUUUGUCGCUUCCUUCUUUCCCUCCAAUUCUUGUGACAAAGAACAGAAAAAGGAGGGCCUGCAAAGGAGGCUAUGUUAGUGAUGUAUUCAAUCCUAGAUGUAGAAUGGAAUGUGCGUGGG